GCUACCUUGGUCCAACGGUAGGAUAAUCGCCUUCCAUUAGCACCGCUAAAUGCGAGCGAUUGGUUCGGGUUCGACUCCCGGAGGUUGCA